rnacentral:lncRNA from 10 species
UUCGUGAACUGUGCAAAAAAGAAGGUACGAGAACAUUCUUUGAUAAUAAUAAUGGCUUCCUAAUAUGCCUGGAAGCUCCCUCAACUUCCAGCCAUUGUCCAAAUCUCUUUUGAUUGUCAGCCAGUAUCCAUUUUUUUCCCACAGGUUAUAUAAUCUCCUCCAAAAAUGUGUCUAUGCUAUUUUGAGGCUUAAGCAAUAAGCGUUGCUCCAGCCAUCUCAGUGUUUGAUCUCGUAUCCAUUGGUGUGGUACCCACCGUCUAAUGUCUUACCUCCUCUAUUGUACACAGGUUCUGAGAGGCUGCCUUGGCAGAGAUUCUUGUGUUUGCUGAGGGUUAGCUUUUACCAGGACUUCUAAU